ACGGUUAUGAAUCAACAACACCUUGAUUUAUAAGCAUGGAAAUCCCCUGAGUGAAACAACGAAUUGCUGUGUGUAGUCUUUGCCCAUCUCCCACGAUGGGCUUUUUUUUAU
rfam:Leclercia adecarboxylata strain I1 Leclercia_S84_R1__paired__contig_7, whole genome shotgun sequence.